GAGUUUGAUCCUGGCUCAGGAUGAACGCUGGCGGCGUGCCUAACACAUGCAAGUCGAGCGAAGCGCUAUACUUGAAUUCUUCGGAAGGAAAGUAUUGUGACUGAGCGGCGGACGGGUGAGUAACGCGUGGGUAACCUGCCUCAUACAGGGGGAUAACAGUUAGAAAUGACUGCUAAUACCGCAUAAGACCACAGCACCGCAUGGUGCGGGGGUAAAAACUCCGGUGGUAUGAGAUGGACCCGCGUCUGAUUAGCUAGUUGGUAAGGUAAGGGCUUACCAAGGCGACGAUCAGUAGCCGACCUGAGAGGGUGACCGGCCACAUUGGGACUGAGACACGGCCCAAACUCCUACGGGAGGCAGCAGUGGGGAAUAUUGCACAAUGGGGGAAACCCUGAUGCAGCGACGCCGCGUGAGUGAUGAAGUAUUUCGGUAUGUAAAGCUCUAUCAGCAGGGAAGAAAAUGACGGUACCUGACUAAGAAGCACCGGC
rnacentral:rRNA from 1 species